UUGUCUCUCUUGAGUGGAUCCUGAGUACGACGGAGCACGUGAAAUUCCGUCGGAAUCUGGGAGGACCAUCUCCUAAGGCUAAAUACUCUCUAGUGACCGAUAGUGAACCAGUACCGUGAGGGAAAGGUGAAAAGCACCCCGGAAGGGGAGUGAAAUAGAACCUGAAACCGUGUGCUUACAAGUAGUCAGAGCCCGUUAAUGGGUGAUGGCGUGCCUUUUGUAGAAUGAACCGGCGAGUUACGAUUUGAUGCAAGGUUAAGCAGUAAAUGUGGAGCCGUAGCGAAAGCGAGUCUGAAUAGGGCGUUUAGUAUUUGGUCGUAGACCCGAAACCAGGUGAUCUACCCUUGGUCAGGUUGAAGUUCAGGUAACACUGAAUGGAGGACCGAACCGACUUACGUUGAAAAGUGAGCGGAUGAACUGAGGGUAGCGGAGAAAUUCCAAUCGAACCUGGAGAUAGCUGGUUCUCUCCGAAAUAGCUUUAGGGCUAGCCUCAAGUGAUGAUUAUUGGAGGUAGAGCACUGUUUGGACGAGGGGCCCCUCUCGGGUUACCGAAUUCAGACAAACUCCGAAUGCCAAUUAAUUUAACUUGGGAGUCAGAACAUGGGUGAUAAGGUCCGUGUUCGAAAGGGAAACAGCCCAGACCACCAGCUAAGGUCCCAAAAUAUAUGUUAAGUGGAAAAGGAUGUGGCGUUGCCCAGACAACUAGGAUGUUGGCUUAGAAGCAGCCAUCAUUUAAAGAGUGCGUAAUAGCUCACUAGUCGAGUGACACUGCGCCGAAAAUGUACCGGGGCUAAACAUGUUACCGAAGCUGUGGAUUGUCCUUUGGACAAUGGUAGGAGAGCGUUCUAAGGGCGUUGAAGCAUGAUCGUAAGGACAUGUGGAGCGCUUAGAAGUGAGAAUGCCGGUGUGAGUAGCGAAAGACGGGUGAGAAUCCCGUCCACCGAUUGACUAAGGUUUCCAGAGGAAGGCUCGUCCGCUCUGGGUUAGUCGGGUCCUAAGCUGAGGCCGACAGGCGUAGGCGAUGGAUAACAGGUUGAUAUUCCUGUACCACCUAUAAUCGUUUUAAUCGAUGGGGGGACGCAGUAGGAUAGGCGAAGCGUGCGAUUGGAUUGCACGUCUAAGCAGUAAGGCUGGGUAUUAGGCAAAUCCGGUACUCGUUAAGGCUGAGCUGUGAUGGGGAGAAGACAUUGUGUCUUCGAGUCGUUGAUUUCACACUGCCGAGAAAAGCCUCUAGAUAGAAAAUAGGUGCCCGUACCGCAAACCGACACAGGUAGUCAAGAUGAGAAUUCUAAGGUGAGCGAGCGAACUCUCGUUAAGGAACUCGGCAAAAUGACCCCGUAACUUCGGGAGAAGGGGUGCUCUUUAGGGUUAACGCCCAGAAGAGCCGCAGUGAAUAGGCCCAAGCGACUGUUUAUCAAAAACACAGGUCUCUGCUAAACCGUAAGGUGAUGUAUAGGGGCUGACGCCUGCCCGGUGCUGGAAGGUUAAGAGGAGUGGUUAGCUUCUGCGAAGCUACGAAUCGAAGCCCCAGUAAACGGCGGCCGUAACUAUAACGGUCCUAAGGUAGCGAAAUUCCUUGUCGGGUAAGUUCCGACCCGCACGAAAGGCGUAACGAUUUGGGCACUGUCUCAACGAGAGACUCGGUGAAAUCAUAGUACCUGUGAAGAUGCAGGUUACCCGCGACAGGACGGAAAGACCCCGUGGAGCUUUACUGUAGCCUGAUAUUGAAAUUCGGCACAGCUUGUACAGGAUAGGUAGGAGCCUUUGAAACGUGAGCGCUAGCUUACGUGGAGGCGCUGGUGGGAUACUACCCUAGCUGUGUUGGCUUUCUAACCCGCACCACUUAUCGUGGUGGGAGACAGUGUCAGGCGGGCAGUUUGACUGGGGCGGUCGCCUCCUAAAAGGUAACGGAGGCGCUCAAAGGUUCCCUCAGAAUGGUUGGAAAUCAUUCAUAGAGUGUAAAGGCAUAAGGGAGCUUGACUGCGAGACCUACAAGUCGAGCAGGGUCGAAAGACGGACUUAGUGAUCCGGUGGUUCCGCAUGGAAGGGCCAUCGCUCAACGGAUAAAAGCUACCCCGGGGAUAACAGGCUUAUCUCCCCCAAGAGUUCACAUCGACGGGGAGGUUUGGCACCUCGAUGUCGGCUCAUCGCAUCCUGGGGCUGUAGUCGGUCCCAAGGGUUGGGCUGUUCGCCCAUUAAAGCGGUACGCGAGCUGGGUUCAGAACGUCGUGAGACAGUUCGGUCCCUAUCCGUCGUGGGCGUAGGAAAUUUGAGAGGAGCUGUCCUUAGUACGAGAGGACCGGGAUGGACAUACCUCUGGUGUACCAGUUGUCGUGCCAACGGCAUAGCUGGGUAGCUAUGUGUGGACGGGAUAAGUGCUGAAAGCAUCUAAGCAUGAAGCCCCCCUCAAGAUGAGAUUUCCCAACUUCGGUUAUAAGAUCCCUCAAAGAUGAUGAGGUUAAUAGGUUCGAGGUGGAAGCAUGGUGACAUGUGGAGCUGACGAAUACUAAUCGAUCGAAGACUUAAUCAA
rnacentral:rRNA from 1 species